rnacentral:rRNA from 1 species
UACGGAGGGUGCGAGCGUUGUCCGGAAUCACUGGGCGUAAAGGGCGCGUAGGUGGCCUGGUAAGUAGGGGGUGAAAUCUCGCGGCUCAACUGCGAGGCUGCCUCCUAAACUGUCAGGCUCGAGCAGAGUAGAGGCAGGUGGAAUUCCCGGUGUAGCGGUGGAAUGCGUAGAGAUCGGGAAGAACAUCGGUGGCGAAGGCGGCCUGCUGGGCUCUUGCUGACACUGAGGCGCGACAGCGUGGGGAGCAAACAGG